rnacentral:rRNA from 1 species
GUCUAUGGCCGUACCACCCUGAACAUGCCUGAUCUCAUCUCAUUUUGGAAACUAAGUAGGGUUGGACCUGGUUAGUGCUUGGAUGGGAGACAUCACUGAUUCCAUGACGUGCUUUCUAUC